CAGUGGGGAAUUUUGGACAAUGGGGCGCAAGCCUGAUCCAGCCAUGCCGCGUGCGGGAAGAAGGCCUUCGGGUUGUAAACCGCUUUUGUCGGGGAAGAAAAGCCUUGGGUUAAUACCCUGGGGUGAUGACGGUACCCGAAGAAUAAGCACCGGCUAACUACGUGCCAGCAGCCGCGGUAAUACGUAGGGUGCAAGCGUUAAUCGGAAUUACUGGGCGUAAAGCGUGCGCAGGCGGUUGUGUAAGACAGAUGUGAAAUCCCCGGGCUCAACCUGGGAACUGCAUUUGUGACUGCACAGCUGGAGUGCGGCAGAGGGGGAUGGAAUUCCGCGUGUAGCAGUGAAAUGCGUAGAUAUGCGGAGGAACACCGAUGGCGAAGGCAAUCCCCUGGGCCUGCACUGACGCUCAUGCACGAAAGCGUGGGGAGCAAACAGGAUUAGAUACCCUGGUAGUCCACGCCCUAAACGAUGUCAACUGGUUGUUGGGAGGGUUUCUUCUCAGUAACGAAGCUAACGCGUGAAGUUGACCGCCUGGGGAGUACGGCCGCCAAGGUUGAAACUC
rnacentral:rRNA from 1 species